CUUUCAGAAUUUGCUGUUCAGGUAGUCAUUUCUGCUCCUCCGCGAAGAGAGUUGGAGCGAAGCGUUGCAGAAUUGCAGAACCAAGCAGCAGUGUUGGUGUUCUGUCUCAGGAAGGACCUGUUCUUGUAUCACUGCCAUAUACACAGGAUCGAAGACUCUUAAGCAACUAUGCCUCCUCCCCUGCGCCACCGCUCCAUGCGUAUCUUCAUGAACGACGACCGCCACGUGAUGGCCAAGCACUCCGCUGUGUACCCCACACAGGAGGAGCUGGAGGGUGUGCAGAACAUGGUGUCCCACACCGAGCGUGCCCUCAAGGCUGUCUCCGACUGGCUGGACGAGCAGGAGAAGGUGGUCAAGUCUGAGCCAGACGGAACCGAGUCCGAUAAAGAAAGUGAGCCCAAGGUGUCGGAACAGGCCACACGGUCCCUGCGUGGGGUGAUGAGGGUGGGCCUGGUUGCCAAGGGCUUGCUGCUGAAGGGGGACCUAGACCUGGAGCUGGUGCUUUUGUGCAAGGACAAACCCACCAUCACCCUGCUGAAGAAUGUGGCAGACAACCUGGCUGUGCAACUCAAGACCAUCACAGAGGACAAGUAUGAGGUCACUCAGGUCAUCCGUGAAGCCACCAUCGUGAUCAAGAGCACCAAGGAGCCUCCCCUGACCCUGACUAUCAACAUGACGUCCCCCCUGGUCCGUGAGGAGGUGGAGAAACAGGCUGCCGGAGAAACGCUAUCAGUCAACGAUCCCCCGGAUGUUCUGGACAGGCAGAAAUGCCUUACUGCCUUGGCGUCUCUUCGCCACGCCAAGUGGUUCCAGGCCAGGGCCAAUGGGCUGAGGUCCUGCGUCAUCGUCAUCCGUAUCCUGAGGGACUUGUGCUCCCGCGUCCCCACUUGGGCCCCACUGCAUGGAUGGCCAAUAGAGCUGCUGUGUGAGAAGGCAAUUGGCACAGGGAACCGGCCAAUGGGGGCAGGAGAGGCUCUGCGAAGAGUUUUGGAGUGUCUGGCUUCUGGAAUCCUCAUGGCUGAUGGUGCUGGAAUCUGUGAUCCAUGUGAGAAGGAUCUGACAGAUGCUAUUGGCCACCUGGACCUCCAGCAGAGGGAGGACCUCACAAAGAGUGCCCAGCAUGCCUUAAGGCUGUCUGCCUUCGGACAGCUUCACAAAGUGCUAGGGAUGGACCCCCUUCCCUCCAAAAUGCCCCGGAAACCCAGGAGCGAGACCCCAAUUGACUAUACAGUCCAAAUCCCCCCCAGUACAACCUACGCCCCACCAAUGAAGAGGCCCAUCGAGGAGGAGGAAGGAGGGGAGGACAAAAGUCCAAACAAGAAGAAAAAGAAGUUGCAAAAGAAAUCCCCAGAUGAGAAGUCGGAGCCUCCCCAGGCCAUGAAUGCUCUGAUGAGGCUGAACCAGCUGAAGCCUGGCCUGCAGUAUAAACUCCUCUCCCAAACUGGCCCGGUGCACGUACCAGUCUUCACCAUGGCUGUUGAGGUGGACAGCAAGAGCUUUGAAGCCUCAGGCCCAUCCAAACGCACUGCCAAGCUUCACGUUGCUGUCAAGGUCCUCCAGGACAUGGGCCUCCCCACAGGUGUGGAGCUGAAGACUGCUGAGCCAGUGAAGACUGAGGUGGCAACGGCCAUUGUGGAGGUGGUGAAACCCUGCAUCACACCCAUCGCAAUGGACACUGCAGCCACAGGGGCGGACAGCGUGGAGGCCACAGACGGUGCAGAGAGUGCUCGUCAACAGGGACCAAUCCUGACCAAACAUGGGAAGAACCCUGUGAUGGAGCUAAACGAGAAGCGGCGCGGCCUCAAGUAUGAGCUUAUCUCAGAGACCGGAGGCAGCCACGACAAACGCUUCGUCAUGGAGGUGGAGAUAGACGAACAGAAGUUCCAAGGGACUGGCUCCAAUAAGAAGGUGGCCAAGGCCUAUGCUGCCUUGGCAGCCCUGGACAAACUCUUCCCAGAGGGCUCUGUGACUGAGGCAGCCAAGAAGAAGAAACUCCCAAUGCAUGGGUUUGGCAUGAUGGGUGACCCGACUGGUGACCCGGCAGCCACUCCCAGGGGCAGAGGUAGAGGGCGUGGCAGGGGGAGGGGCCGAGGGUUCAAUAAUGGUGGCAGCUACGGACAAGGUAAAACAGAGCUAUAUGCUACCUACAGUGCCCUCAAAGUAUUCACACCCCUUUAUUUUCUCCAUGUUUUGUUACAGCCUGAAUUUAAAAUUUAUUAAAUGUAUAGUUUGUCAUUGGCCAACACACAUUACCUCAAUGUCACAUUUUUGAAUGUCUACCCCACAUAUACAAUUAUUUGUUAGGUUCCUAAGUUGCGCAGUGAAUUUCAACCACAAAGACCAGGGAGGUUUUCCAAUGCCUUGCAAAGAAGGGCACAUAUUGGUAGAUGGGUAUAAAAAUUAUUUCAAAAAGUAAUCCCUUUGAGCAUGGUGAAGUUACUAAUUACACUUUGGAUGGUGUAGCAAUACACCCAGUCACUACAAAGAUAAAGGCGUCCUUCCCAACUCAGUUGCCGGAGAGGAGGGAAACCGCUCAGAGAUUUCAGAGGCCAAUGGUGACUUUAAAACGGGUACAGAGUUUAAUGGCUGUGAUUGGAGUAACUGAGGAUGGAUCAACAUUAGUUACUCCACAAUACUAACCUAAUUGACAGUGAAAAGGAAGCUUGUACAGAGUAAAAAAUAUUCCAAAAGAUGCAUCCUGUUUGCAACAAGGCACUAAACUAAUAUAUUUUGCGACGCGCACGCGACGUGACCGGUCUGGUCAACGUGUAACAAAUGACCAACAACCAACUUGACAAAGCUUGAAGAAUUUAAAAAAGAAUGCAAAUAUUAUACAAUCCAUGUGUGUAAAGCUCUUGGACCUAACCAGAAAGACUCACAGCUGUAAUCGCUGCCAAAUGUGAUUCUAACAUGUAUAGACCCAGGGGAGUGUAUAUUUUUUGGGUCUACGAACAUGUUUUUCUUUUGUCAUUAUGUGUGAUUGUGUAGGUUGUCAGGUCAGAAAAAAAAAAUCUAUUUUGAAUUCAGGCUCUAAUAAAAGAACAUUUGGGAUAAGUCAUGGGAUGGGGUAUGAGUACUUUCUGAAGGUAUUAUUUGCAAUUAUUGUGUGUUCUGUACCUGAAUUGACUUUAUGCUGUAAAUACUGUUCUUCAAUAUAUUAAAUGGUAGGAAACAUCUCACGUCAGCUGAGAAAUGUAAUGGUUGGUUUCCUUAACUCCUCAGGUGGCUAUGGAAGUUAUGGAUAUGGGAACAAUGGAAACUCUGGAGGCUAUAGUGACUUUGUCUCAGACUGCUAUGGCUACCACGAAUUUGCUACAUAGAUCAUCCCAAUCUUUUAAAUCAAAACAAAAUGUAGAGAAAGAGGAGAAAACUAGUGUUCCCGCAACAUGAACUCCAAUCACUCCCCUGGGAGAAAAACGGUCCCUUACCUGCUACGACUCAUGUCCCAACGCCUAGAGAGAUGGGAGGCCAGUGAGUGCUUGUUGCAUUUGGUCACCUUCCAUACCCUCUGCCAACCCUGGGAUGUACCUGGACACCUGGAUAUGCCAAAAGCCACAGGCACACUUUUCCAAUAGACUGCCUUCCUUCGUGGAAUUGAGACCAGAGCAUUAUGGUUGGCUGAUGGAUAAUGGCCCACUGUGAUGACAUGCACCUUGGAGUGGGUCAGACUGGGGAGAUUGAUCCCAUUGUGGCCAUCUGUCUUGAAUGUCUAGGAAAAAAGUUACAUUUCUUAUGAUGUGAAUGGUCUUAUUUCAUUUUAUUGUCUGAACAUGUAUUAUCAAUCACCUCAUUGUCACACUUUUUUUGCCUUUUGUUAUGGGAUCAUAAGGCUGCUUUGAAUAUUUGCAGUUUUUUAUUCAAAUGUCAGAAUUGCUAAAUCAUGGCGGUUACAUGCUAGUCUUAUCUUAAAUGACAAUAUUCACAAUGCCCCCCAUUUACCUCACAUGUGAGGCACCGUUAGGUGUGAAAAAACCACGGUGUUGAUACUUGCACAAGACUGAUUUUUGACAUUCUGCAUUAUGAUUGUGAAGUAAAAAAUAAAGUCUUGUAUGUUUUUAAAAAAUAAAUGUGAUAUCCCAUUCAAUAAUGUGGUACUACAAUUUUAGUAAAACGCUUCACUUUCUUGAAGAUGCAAUGUAUUAUUCUUGGUGUCUUUACAAGCAUGGGUGUGACAGUAGUAGAACUCUCUACAAAACCCCCUCUUAAUCUAAUGCUUCUUUCUUUUAGAUUAUUACAAUAGUGGAGCAAAUGGUGGAGCUGCGGCUGCUGGCACCGUUACUGAAGUCCCUGCGGCCAGCACUACAGGCGUGACAGCUACAGGAACCUAUGGUUCAUACUACCAGAAUGAUGGAGGCUACUCCAGCCCUUCUCCAGCCCCCAAAGCCUCUGUCAAAAAGGAGGCCAAGUCAACCUUCCCUGGACCACCAGGAGUUGGUGGAGGGGCCCAAGGGGCCUACCAGACCACCCCUGGCCAGAGUGCCUAUAACCAGUAUGGCCAGGGCUAUGGGCAAGGCAAUAAGACCUUCAAUCAAAACCAGGCAGGAGCAGGAGUUUAUCCUUACAGCACUGCCUACCCCAGCCAGGUGACGGGCAGCGCUGUUGCCAGCCAAGACUACAGUUACGACGGUUACGGAAAUCAGUCAAAUUACAACGCACAGGCAGAAGCCAACCAGAGCUAUGGUGCAAAUCCAGCUCCAUACCACAACCCAGUAGGAUACGGCAGGGGAGACCCCACCAUGAACUACCAGUACAGAUAGACUGACUCCGUGAUGGUGGCUAUCCUGGUUUUUCCAUGUCUGCGUGCAUUUGGUUAUUUUUUUUUACUUUAAAGAAAAAAACUGGACUUAUUAGUUGGCAGCUCCCCACGGCUGAAUCAAAUAGUCUAUUUCAUCAGUUUGGUCAGUGUUCAAGCUUGUAUUUUCUUUGUAUGCACUCCACCAAUUUCCCCUCCCCACCAUCACUACCACUCAAAAAGAGGGAAUGACAUCUUUUUUUAUUUCUUUUUUUACCACCAGUUCUGAUUUUAUUUCUGUCCAUACACAAGUUAACUAUGUUUUGGGCUGAGGAUUUGUUUAAAUUUUCAUUUCACAUUACAAUGGGUCUGGAGAACUGCUUGUUUGUUGAAGUAUUUGUUUGUAAUUUUAGACAUUUAUUUUUGAAUGUUUUACUUGAUGUAUUUCUGUAGUUUUAAUUUUAACAAAUAAUUUUGGAAGUUUACUAGAAAUACAUUUUAAAUGUCAAUCACAUUUCUGGUCAAAGUAGAUUUGGUGGUUGGGAUUAUUUCAUUUUUUCUCAGAACAGUAUAUAAGAAAGUGGUGUUUGUAUCAAUAAAGGACUUAUUUUGGAGCAAA